UACGUAGGGUGCAAGCGUUAAUCGGAAUUACUGGGCGUAAAGCGUGCGCAGGCGGCUUUGUAAGACAGAUGUGAAAUCCCCGGGCUUAACCUGGGAACUGCAUUUGUGACUGCAUGGCUGGAGUGCGGCAGAGGGAGGUAGAAUUCCACGUGUAGCAGUGAAAUGCGUAGAGAUGUGGAGGAAUACCGAUGGCGAAGGCAGCCUCCUGGGCCAACACUGACGCUCAUGCACGAAAGCGUGGGGAGCAAACAGG
rnacentral:rRNA from 1 species